GGCACAAACUUGAAGUAGAAUAGUUGGGUGUGGUCAGCUGAUCCUACUAAUCUACUCUGCUUCAAGUUUGUGCUC
rfam:Haemonchus contortus, ISE/inbred ISE, WGS project CAVP01000000 data, contig: Hcontortus_45950